ACGGAACUUCUUUAAUUGACUUCUUCGGAAUGAUUUUGAUUAAGUUUAGUGGCGGACGGGUGAGUAACGCGUGAGUAACCUGCCUCUGAGAGGGGAAUAACAUUCUGAAAAGAAUGCUAAUACCGCAUAACAUAUAUUUAUCGCAUGGUAGAUAUAUCAAAGAUUUAUCGCUUAGAGAUGGACUCGCGUCCGAUUAGUUAGUUGGUGAGGUAACGGCUCACCAAGACCGCGAUCGGUAGCCGGACUGAGAGGUUGAACGGCCACAUUGGGACUGAGACACGGCCCAGACUCCUACGGGAGGCAGCAGUGGGGGAUAUUGCGCAAUGGGGGAAACCCUGACGCAGCAACGCCGCGUGAAGGAUGAAGGUCUUCGGAUUGUAAACUUCUUUUAUUAAGGACGAAGAAAGUGACGGUACUUAAUGAAUAAGCUCCGGCUAACUACGUGCCAGCAGCCGCGGUAAUACGUAGGGAGCAAGCGUUGUCCGGAUUUACUGGGUGUAAAGGGUGCGUAGGCGGCUUUGCAAGUCAGAUGUGAAAUCUAUGGGCUCAACCCGUAGCCUGCAUUUGAAACUGCAGAGCUUGAGUGAAGUAGAGGCAGGCGGAAUUCCCCGUGUAGCGGUGAAAUGCGUAGAGAUGGGGAGGAACACCAGUGGCGAAG
rnacentral:rRNA from 1 species